rnacentral:rRNA from 1 species
UACGUAGGGGGCAAGCGUUGUCCGGAUUUAUUGGGCGUAAAGAGCGUGUAGGCGGUUAGGUAGGUCCGUUGUGAAAACUCGAGGCUCAACCUCGAGACGCCGAUGGAAACCAUCUGACUAGAGUCCGGAAGAGGAGAGUGGAAUUCCUGGUGUAGCGGUGAAAUGCGCAGAUAUCAGGAAGAACACCCGUGGCUAAGGCGGCUCUCUAGUACGUGACCGACGCUGAGACGCGAAAGCGUGGGGAGCGAACAGG